GAUGAACGCUGGCGGCGUACCUAAUACAUGCAAGUCGAGCGAACGGACGAGAAGCUUGCUUCUCUGAUGUUAGCGGCGGACGGGUGAGUAACACGUGGAUAACCUACCUAUAAGACUGGGAUAACUUCGGGAAACCGGAGCUAAUACCGGAUAAUAUUUUGAACCGCAUGGUUCAAAAGUGAAAGACGGUCUUGCUGUCACUUAUAGAUGGAUCCGCGCUGCAUUAGCUAGUUGGUAAGGUAACGGCUUACCAAGGCAACGAUGCAUAGCCGACCUGAGAGGGUGAUCGGCCACACUGGAACUGAGACACGGUCCAGACUCCUACGGGAGGCAGCAGUAGGGAAUCUUCCGCAAAGGGCGAAAGCCUGACGGGGCAACGCCGCGUGAGUGAUGAAGGUCUUCGGAUCGUAAAACUCUGUUAUUAGGGAAGAACAUAUGUGUAAGUAACUGUGCACAUCUUGACGGUACCUAAUCAGAAAGCCACGGCUAACUACGUG
rnacentral:rRNA from 1 species